GGGCGGUGAAUUGGUUGACUGGGCUGGGGGGCGGGGGGCGGGGCAGCGGCUCCUGUCAGCGGGUGAAAUGGCAGUGGCGGAGCCAGCGACGGCCGCGGUCCCCGGGGGUGGCUGAUUGAAAGGGGCCGGGCCGCGGGGUUUGCGGGACCCUCGAGCAGACGUGACCGUGGGUCGGGGCAUCGGACGACACAGCGCAGGGACAGCGAGGCUCGGCGCGGCGAUGGAGGCGCUCUCGGCGCAGACAGAGCUGUAACCUGGCAUCCCCCUGGCUGAUGAGCCUGCCCACCAUGGCAAGCCCCACUCUGAGCCCGGACUCCUCAUCUCAAGAGGCCCUGUCAGCACCCACCUGCUCCCCAACCUCUGACUCCGAGAAUCUCAGCCCAGAUGAGCUAGAACUACUGGCCAAGCUCGAGGAGCAGAACCGGCUCCUGGAAGCCGACUCCAAGUCCAUGCGCUCCAUGAAUGGCUCCCGGAGGAACAGUGGCUCCUCACUGGUAUCCAGCUCCUCAGCCUCCUCCAACCUGAGCCACCUGGAGGAGGACACGUGGAUUCUCUGGGGCCGAAUUGCCAACGAGUGGGAGGAGUGGCGGCGCAGGAAGGAAAAACUACUCAAGGAGCUGAUCCGGAAGGGCAUCCCACACCACUUUCGGGCCAUCGUCUGGCAGCUCCUGUGCAGUGCCACAGAUAUGCCCGUCAAAAACCAGUACUCUGAGCUCCUCAAGAUGUCCUCCCCAUGUGAGAAACUCAUCAGGAGGGAUAUUGCCCGCACCUACCCAGAGCAUGAAUUCUUCAAAGGCCAGGACAGCCUGGGCCAGGAAGUCCUCUUCAAUGUCAUGAAGGCAUACUCCCUGGUUGAUCGGGAGGUGGGCUACUGCCAGGGCAGUGCCUUCAUUGUGGGCUUACUCCUCAUGCAGAUGCCUGAGGAAGAGGCCUUCUGUGUAUUCGUGCGACUGAUGCAGGAGUACCGGCUACGGGAGCUCUUCAAGCCCAGCAUGGCCGAGCUGGGACUCUGUAUCUACCAGUUUGAAUACAUGCUACAGGAGCAGCUUCCGGACCUGAAUACCCACUUCCGCUCACAGAGCUUCCACACGUCCAUGUAUGCAUCGUCCUGGUUCCUUACGCUUUUCCUUACCACCUUCCCCCUGCCUGUUGCCACCCGGGUCUUUGAUAUCUUUAUGUAUGAGGGACUGGAGAUUGUGUUCCGAGUAGGCCUUGCCCUGCUGCAAGUGAACCAGACAGAGUUGAUGCAACUGGACAUGGAGGGCAUGUCCCAGUACUUCCAGAGAGUCAUCCCCCACCAGUUUGACAGCUGCCCAGACAAGCUGGUCCUCAAGGCUUAUCAGGUCAAGUACAACCCUAAAAAGAUGAAGAGGCUGGAGAAGGAGUACGCAGCUAUGAAGAGUAAAGAGAUGGAGGAGCAGAUCGAGAUCAAAAGGCUUCGAACAGAGAACCGGCUGCUCAAACAGCGGAUUGAGACCCUAGAGAAGGGGCAGGUGACACGGGCACAGGAGGCUGAGGAGAACUAUGUCAUCAAACGGGAGUUGGCAGUAGUGAGACAACAGUGUAGCUCGACUGCAGAGGACCUUCAGAAAGCACAGAGUACCAUUCGGCAGUUGCAAGAACAGCAGGUACCCGGCGGUUGAAUGGGAUUGACUGGCAGGACCACACCUUCUACAGGCCUACGUGCCACCCUUGCCUGCUAGCCCUCAGGGCUUAGAUCUGUAAGGAAAACCCUCGCCUCACAGAGGACUUUGUGGCCCACCUGGAGACAGAACUGGAGCAGUCACGGUUACGAGAAACAGAGACUCUGGGGGCCCUUCGAGAAAUGCAGGACAAAGUUCUGGACAUGGAAAAGAGAAACAGCUCACUGCCAGAUGAGAACAAUGUAGCCAGGCUGCAGGAGGAACUCAAGGCACUCAAGGUGCGGGAGGGCGAGGCCGUAGCCUCUGCUCGGGAGCUAAAGCUGCAGCUGCAGGAGCUCUCAGACACCUGGCAGGCCCAUCUUUCCCGCGGUGGCCGCUGGAAGGAGUCCCCGCGGAAGUUGGUCCUGGGCGAGUUACAGGACGAGCUCAUGACUGUGCGUUUGCGCGAGGCACAGGCCCUGGCCGAUGGCCGCGAAUGGCGGCAGCGCGUGGUGGAACUGGAGACGCAGGACAACAUUCACCGCAACCUGCUGAACCGUGUGGAGGCGGAACGCGCGGCCCUGCAGGAGAAGUUGCAGUACCUGGCAGCACAGAACAAGGGACUCCAGACUCAGCUCAGCGAAAGCCGCCGCAAGCAGGCAGAGGCUGAGUGCAAGAGUAAGGAGGAAGUGAUGGCUGUUCGACUUCGGGAGGCAGACAGCAUGGCUGCAGUGGCAGAGAUGAGGCAGCGCAUCGCAGAGCUGGAGAUCCAGAGGGAGGAGGGCCGCAUCCAGGGCCAGCUGAACCACUCGGAUUCAUCGCAGUACAUCCGGGAGCUGAAGGACCAGAUCGAGGAGCUCAAGACUGAGGUGCGGUUGCUGAAAGGCCCACCGACAUUCGAGGACCCGCUGGCUUUCGAUGGGCUCAGCCUAACGCGGCACCUGGAUGAGGAUUCGCUACCAUCUUCUGAUGAGGAGCUGCUGGGCGUGGGUGUGGGCGUGGGCGCAGCCCUGCAGGACCCACUCUACCCUCUCUCUCCCCGGGACGCGCGCUUCUUCAGAAGCCUGGAUCGGCCAGCCAAGGACAGCGAAGGUAGCUCAGACAGCGAUGCAGAUGAACUAGCCACUCCUUAUAGCAACCAGGGCCUGGACAACUGAAGCUGGGGGCCCACUCACGGGGAGCCUGGAGGCCCGCAUUGCUGGCAGGGAGAGAUCAGCAGUCCGCGAGCUUGCUGCUCCACAGUACUAAGGAAUUCUGUGCCUCUGUAACUCCUGCCAACUGAGGGCCAGGUGGAGGAGGCAGCACAGAGGGGCAGGGCCUACUGGCAGGCCUGCCCUGCAUAGCAGUGUUUAUCCGUGUUAGACCAUAUUGUCCAAGCCCUCCUGAGUUCAAGGGGUGCGUGGGCCAGUUACCUGGAGGGUGUUGCUCUCCUAACAUGGACAAGGGCCGAAAGUGGGGAGGCCCCAGGACUUGUUAAUAAGCAGGAAGCUUCCUCCUCCUAGUCAGCUUCCCUUUGGGACAAGGGAGGCCCUGCUGGGUGGGGCCCAGGAACUACAGGUCUGAGGAAGGAGGGGCAACUUGGACUGGAUAUUAGCACCCCAGGACAGGUUCUCUGGACACAGUGAUAUUGAGCAGCCAGUCCCUUGCCACUGGGGACAGAUGGCCAGGCUGGACUUUUCUGCCUGGUGCAGGCAUCAUGGCCCCUGCAGCAGAAACCAAAGCCCCCAGCCCAUCCUGUCUGCAGGACAUACCACCUGGGGUGUGAGCAGUCAGGGGGAACCAGCUCAGACCUGGGAAGUCUCUCCCCACUCUCUAGGGCUAUAGAAGCUGCAAAGAAGAAACCCUUUCCCUAGAGCACCCAUCUUCCUCUGGGGAGUACUAAUAUCACACGUGUUGGCUGGCUGUAAAAGAGAGAACCCCGCUACUUGGGAGUUCUCAGCCUCGGUCCAUUUAUUCCUGUGGACUUAUUCCACUUAUUCUGGCUAGAGUUUCCCAGUCCGUUCCCUCCCCUUAUCUCCUCAGAGUAUUCCCAUGGUCUCUGCCCAGUCAGAGUUGAGAAUGGUGCCAAAGUCCAUCAAUGCUCCCCAGGCUCCUUUACCCUUCACCCCACCCCAACCCGCAUCUUGGACCCCUGGGGGCUGACCCCUUCUCAGUGCUCCUAGAGCCUCAAGUAGAAUGGUGCCCACAGCAUUCCCUGGGUGCUUCCUGGGUGGGGCCUCCAGCUCCGUUUCCAUUCCUGGUGGCCUGCUCUUCAAGUGUUAAAAAAGCCUGGGGGCUGGAGCAGGGUACCCCUGAGGAGGCCCUCUUGUGUGCUCCUCAUGUGCCCCUCCACACUGCCCACCACCAUUUUGCACACUGCCUGUUCACACUCCAUGUCUCCAAGGCAGAAAAGAUGGAAAAUAAAGUGUAUUUACACAGUC